rnacentral:rRNA from 1 species
UACAGAGGGUGCAAGCGUUUGUUCGGAAUUAUUGGGCGUAAAGGGCGCGUAGGCGGUGCUGUAAGUCUGUAGUGAAAUCUCUGGGCUCAACUCAGAGUCUGCUAUAGAAACUGCAGUGCUGGAGUGUGGGAGAGGUGAGUGGAAUUCCCGGUGUAGCGGUGAAAUGCGCAGAUAUCGGGAAGAACACCCGUGGCGAAGGCGGCUCUCUGGGACGGUACUGGACGCUGAGACGCGAAAGCGUGGGGGAGCGAACAGG